rnacentral:rRNA from 1 species
UACGGAGGGUGCAAGCGUUAUCCGGAUUCACUGGGUUUAAAGGGUGCGUAGGCGGCCCCGUAAGUCAGUGCUGAAAUAUCCCGGCUUAACCGGGAGGGUGGCAUUGAUACUGCAGGGCUUGAGUAAAGUUGAGGUAGGCGGAAUUGACGGUGUAGCGGUGAAAUGCUUAGAUAUCGUCAAGAACACCGAUAGUGUAGACAGCUUACUAAGCUUUAACUGACGCUGAGGCACGAAAGUGUGGGGAUCAAACAGG